GACGAACGCUGGCGGCGUGCUUAACACAUGCAAGUCGAACGGAAAGGCCCUGCUUUUGUGGGGUGCUCGAGUGGCGAACGGGUGAGUAACACGUGAGUAACCUGCUCUUGACUUUGGGAUAACUUAAGGAAACUGGGGCUAAUACCGGAUAGGAGCUCCUGCUGCAUGGUGGGGGUUGGAACGUUUCGGCGGUUGGGGAUGGACUCGCGGCUUAUCAGCUUGUUGGUGGGGUAGUGGCUUACCAAGGCUUUGACGGGUAGCCGGCCUGAGAGGGUGACCGGCCACAAUGGUACUGAGAGACGGCCCAGACUCCUACGGGAGGCAGCAGUGGGGAAUAUUGCACAAUGGGCGGAAGCCUGAUGCAGCAACGCCGCGUUCGGGAUGACGGCCUUUGGGUUGUAAACCGCUUUCGCCUGUGACGAAGCGUGAGUGACGGUAAUGGGUGAAGAAGCACCGGCUAACUACGUG
rnacentral:rRNA from 1 species